AUUGAACGCUGGCGGCAGGCCUAACACAUGCAAGUCGAGCGAACCUAGCUUGCUAGGUGAGCGGCGAACGGGUGAGUAACGCGUAGGAAUCUGCCCGAUAGUGGGGGACAACGUCUCGAAAGGGACGCUAAUACCGCAUACGCCCUACGGGGGAAAGCAGGGGAUCUUCGGACCUUGCGCUAUCGGAUGAGCCUGCGUCGGAUUAGCUAGUUGGCGGGGUAAAGGCCCACCAAGGCGACGAUCCGUAGCUGGUCUGAGAGGAUGAUCAGCCACACCGGAACUGAGACACGGUCCGGACUCCGACGGGAGGCAGCAGUGGGAAAUAUUGGACAAUGGGGGCAACCCUGAUCCAGCCAUGCCGCGUGUGUGAAGAAGGCCUUCGGGUUGUAAAGCACUUUAAGGGGGGAGGAAGGUUCGUUGGCUAAUAUCCAACGGAAUUGACGCUACCCCCAGAAUAAGCACCGGCUAACUCCGUGCCAGCAGCCGCGGUAA
rnacentral:rRNA from 1 species